rnacentral:lncRNA from 1 species
AAGAGCUGGCUGCAUUGAGGAACACCCCCCCCCUAUAAUAGCUAAAUAUGCAAAAGCCACUUUUGUACAAGUAGAUACACUUUUUUUGAGUAGACAUAAGUUCUGUUUUGGGACCUAGAGAACGAAUUUUCACGAGAUUUUUUGCAGGGAUCCUCAUAAAAAUGGUACAACAUUGCCUGCAAAAAAUUAGAAUUUUUCGACAUGGGGAAGUAUUUUUUUU